UACGGGGGGGGCAGGCGUUGUUCGGAAUUACUGGGCGUAAAGGGCUCGUAGGCGGCCCACUAAGUCAGACGUGAAAUCCCUCGGCUUAACCGGGGAACUGCGUCUGAUACUGGAGGGCUCGAGAUCGGGAGAGGGAUGCGGAAUUCCAGGUGUAGCGGUGAAAUGCGUAGAUAUCUGGAGGAACACCGGUGGCGAAGGCGGCAUCCUGGACCGACACUGACGCUGAGGAGCGAAAGCUAGGGGAGCAAACAGG
rnacentral:rRNA from 1 species